UGAAAAAUCACUCACUAUAGGACAAAAAUUGAUCGCCGGACGCCUUAGGAGGAAAGUAUAAGACUUGGUGUCGUGCCGCUGGGCGCUCAGUUGCGAGACUGUUUUCAGAGGGGGAGGGUGUGUCGCUCGGCUCCCGAACAGCGGGAGAGCGACGCGCGGAAGAAAGUCCUAGCGGACGAAUAGCUAACUGCUUGUGGGCUGAAUGCAGGGAGUCAUGCUGGCUUGUUGUGCCAACCGCCUCCCCCCUCACCCAAUCAAGAAGUGACAGAAGCUCAGAACCCACUCCUCGCAGGACUCAUGGUUGCCUCGCCUGGUGGCCGCUGCCCGGUUCGGCACGUGACGUCAGCAGGAACCGCAUCUGUACAUUUACACGUGUUGCAUGACAUUCAGACAACCAACUGGAUGUGGGUGGCCACCGACUGGAUUUACCUACGACACUUAUUGGACGUGCCUGGUUAAUCGACUGUCAAGUAGAUCUGACGUGAAGACACAUGUCAAGGCAUGUACUCUAAGAAGAUUGCAGAGAUUGCAGAAAUCAAAUACAUUAGUUAUUUGUUUGUUUUUUCUUUUUAUAAAUUACUUAAUAAAUAUUUUAAUGUAA